UAAAGCUGUGUAAAGGCCCUUCUGGCCAUAACUGUCACCUGCUCCUUAAGCAGGAGUUGUGAGUCCAGAAGAUCUCCUAAACGGUACACUAAAUCAAAGCAGGGUAGUGCUAUCCCACUGGAUGUAUCUCUUCAAAGAGGAUCAGGAUGACAACCUAUCACACCUGAAGAAGUGUUGAUUUUGUUUUGAAGGACAAGAGUGUCUGCCGAGUGUGUAAUACUAACGGCUUUCUCGGUGCACUAGGAAUACAGUUUGAACCUGUCAAAUUAGUUUUUGAAAAAAGUCAUCUGGGCAGCUCCGGGAUACAAAGCAGACCUCAUUAAAGCUGCAUAUGCUCAACACUGGAUCAAAUGACGAAUGGGGACAAGGGGUUUAAAUCGAGAAGCUGGCACCAGAGCCGUGGUGGCGCAGUGAAUAGAAUGCAGUAUUGCAGGCUUACUCUGCCAACUACCAUCAGUUUGAUCCUGACCAGCUCAGUCUUCCAUCUUUCCGAGAGAUAUCCACAAGGUGCCGAAGAAGUCAUUCAUCUUGGAAAGAAGAAAAGAUUUAUCAGAAGUUAGAGCUCUGAAAUAUCGAAUAACGAAAUCCACCCCCCCUUUCUUUCUUUUUAACUAUAUUUCCUCACAAACAUCUUGGAGCCCAACACCUGCAAUUCAACAUUGUUAGUUACUCCAAAACUGACUUAAACAAAGCUGUAGAGCAGCUCCAGACCUCACUCAAUAAUUUACAAGAUGUCAGCAACUGUAAAGAAUUGUAGGCAUCUAGAGAACUUCUGGUCAAGAAAUAUAAUAGCGACUUGCCAGAAUGGCUUUGUGAGCAUUUUAUUGUAACAGAAA